rnacentral:rRNA from 1 species
GACGAACGUUGGCGUCGUGCUUAAUACAUGCAAGUCAACUGAAGCAGUGGUAGCAAUAUCGCUGUGGAGGUGGCGCACGGGUGAGUAACACGUAGGUAAUCUGCCUUCAGGUCUGGCAUAACUCCGGGAAACCGGGGCUAAUAGCAGAUGAUGCAGCGGCUCGACAUCGAGACAGUUGUUAAAGCUAUGGCGCCUGAAGAUGAGCCUGCGUCUGAUUAGCUAGUUGGCGGGGUAACGGCCCACCAAGGCAACGAUCAGUAGCUGGUCUGAGAGGAUGAUCAGCCACACUGGAACUGAGACACGGUCCAGACUCCUACGGGAGGCAGCAGUAAGGAAUAUUGCUCAAUGGGAGAAAUCCUGAAGCAGCAACGCCGCGUGAGGGACGAAGGGCUUUUGCUUGUAAACCUCUGUAGUGAGAGAAAAAAAUCCCAAUCUUUGGGACAUGAUGGUAUCUCAAAAGUAAGCCCCGGCUAACUACGUG